GAUGAACGCUGGCGGCGUGCCUAACACAUGCAGGUCGAACGGACUUACAUUGAAGCCUAGCGAUAUGUAAGUUAGUGGCGGACGGGUGAGUAACGCGUGGGUAACCUGCCUUGUACUGGGGGACAACAGUUGGAAACGACUGCUAAUACCGCAUAAGCGCACAGCUUCGCAUGAAGCAGUGUGAAAAACUCCGGUGGUACAAGAUGGACCCGCGUCUGAUUAGCUGGUUGGUGAGGUAACGGCCCACCAAGGCGACGAUCAGUAGCCGGCCUGAGAGGGUGAACGGCCACAUUGGGACUGAGACACGGCCCAAACUCCUACGGGAGGCAGCAGUGGGGAAUAUUGCACAAUGGGGGAAACCCUGAUGCAGCAACGCCGCGUGAGUGAAGAAGUAUUUCGGUAUGUAAAGCUCUAUCAGCAGGAAAGAAAAUGACGGUACCUGACUAAGAAGCCCCGGCUAACUACGUGCCAGCAGCCGCGGUAAUACGUAGGGGGCAAGCGUUAUCCGGAU
rnacentral:rRNA from 1 species